CGAUCACGGCCUAUCAGCUUGUUGGUGAGGUAAUGGCUCACCAAGGCGUCGACGGGUAGCCGGCCUGAGAGGGUGACCGGCCACACUGGGACUGAGACACGGCCCAGACUCCUACGGGAGGCAGCAGUGGGGAAUAUUGCACAAUGGGCGGAAGCCUGAUGCAGCAACGCCGCGUGAGGGAUGACGGCCUUCGGGUUGUAAACCUCUUUUAGCAGGGAAGAAGCGAGAGUGACGGUACCUGCAGAAAAAGCACCGGCUAACUACGUGCAAGCAGCCGCGGUAAUACGUAGGGUGCAAGCGUUAUCCGGAAUUAUUGGGCGUAAAGAGCUCGUAGGCGGUUUGUCGCGUCUGCUGUGAAAUCCCGAGGCUCAACCUCGGGCCUGCAGUGGGUACGGGCAGACUAGAGUGCGGUAGGGGAGAUUGGAAUUCCUGGUGUAGCGGUGGAAUGCGCAGAUAUCAGGAGGAACACCGAUGGCGAAGGCAGAUCUCUGGGCCGUAACUGACGCUGAGGAGCGAAAGGGUGGGGAGCAAACAGGCUUAGAUACCCUGGUAGUCCACCCCGUAAACGUUGGGAACUAGUUGUGGGGUCCUUUCCACGGAUUCCGUGACGCAGCUAACGCAUUAAGUUCCCCGCCUGGGGAGUACGGCCGCAAGGCUAAAACUCAAAGGAAUUGACGGGGACCCGCACAAGCGGCGGAGCAUGCGGAUUAAUUCGAUGCAACGCGAAGAACCUUACCAAGGCUUGACAUACACCAGAACACCGUAGAAAUACGGGACUCUUUGGACACUGGUGAACAGGUGGUGCAUGGUUGUCGUCAGCUCGUGUCGUGAGAUGUUGGGUUAAGUCCCGCAACGAGCGCAACCCUCGUUCUAUGUUGCCAGCACGUAAUGGUGGGAACUCAUGGGAUACUGCCGGGGUCAACUCGGAGGAAGGUGGGGAUGACGUCAAAUCAUCAUGCCCCUUAUGUCUUGGGCUUCCCCGAU
rnacentral:rRNA from 1 species